GUGACUUCUGGGUUUUUCUUGAGGAUUGACAGUGCAGAGGACAAAUUUGAGUCACGUUACUUUAUUUAUUUUGCUACUCUUGUCUGCAAGAGUUGCCUACCCGCGUAGUCGCGUUGUCAUAGUGGGACUAAAGCUGGGCGGGGCUGCCUUGGCGCCAUGCCGGCAUGCUGCUGCCCGACCAGACGUACGAAGGCGCGGCACGGGCCCUGGCGCCCUGCGCGCCCGCGACGCCCGCGCGCCUACCGGCGCUGCUGCGCGCGCACCGCGUGCGCCCGGACUUCUUCUGCGCCAAUCGCCUGCGGCGCCCGGGACAUGCUCGCAAGGCGGUGACGGAGGGUGCAGGCGGCGAGCGGCGGCGACGCGUACGCCUUUCUGCGACACAACACGAC